rnacentral:rRNA from 1 species
GGUAUUUUGACCGUGCAAAGGUAGCAUAAUCAUUAGUUUUUUAAUUGAAAGCUGGAAUGAAAGGUUGGAUGAGAAAUAAGCUGUCUCUGUUUAAUUUUAUUAGAAUUUUAUUUUUAAGUAAAAAAGCUUAAAUUUUAAUAGAAGACGAGAAGACCCUAUAGAGUUUUAUUUAUUUAUAAAAUAAGAUUAAUGGUAUUAAUUAUUUUUAUUUUAUAGAUAAAUUUAAUUGGGGUGAUUGAAAAAUUUAAUAAACUUUUUUUAUAUAUAUAUACAUUGAUAUAUGAUUAAUUGAUCCUUAAUUUAAGAUUAAAAGAUAAAAUUACCUUAGGGAUAACAGCGUAAUUUUUUUUGAGAGUUCAAAUCGAAAAAAAAGAUUGCGACCUCGAUGUUGGAUUAAAAUAAAAUUUUGGUGUAGAAGCUAAAA